rnacentral:rRNA from 1 species
UAGGGAAUCUUCCGCAAUGGACGCAAGUCCGACGGAGCAACGCCGCGUGAGUGAAGAAGGAUUUCGGUUCGUAAAACUCUGUUGUUAGAGAAGAACAGCGCAUAGAGUAACUGUUAUGCGUGUGACGGUAUCUAACCAGAAAGCCACGGCUAACUACGUGCCAGCAGCCGCGGUAAUACGUAGGUGGCAAGCGUUGUCCGGAUUUAUUGGGCGUAAAGCGAGCGCAGGCGGUCAAUUAAGUCUGAUGUGAAAGCCCCCGGCUCAACCGGGGAGGGUCAUUGGAAACUGGUUGACUUGAGUGCAGAAGAGGAGAGUGGAAUUCCAUGUGUAGCGGUGAAAUGCGUAGAUAUAUGGAGGAACACCGGUGGCGAAAGCGGCUCUCUGGUCUGUAACUGACGCUGAGGCUCGAAAGCGUGGGGAGCGAACAGG